CAUUAUCCAGGUUAAGCAAAUGAUCACCGUCUGUUUUGAUGUCUCUGGGUCCCUCCUGAAUCAUCCGUUUCCUGCCCCUUCCAAGUAGGAGACAUCAACCAGAAGACAGAAGAUACCAACUGCCUGCCCAGUCGACUGAGGGUUGGGGUUGAUGUAGAUAAAUAUAUCGGGGAGACAGGAUGUUUUCAAGUGUGAUGGACAGCUGCUUCCUGCUUUGAGGGAUCAUAUUGGAUAUCGGCUUGCUAUACGACCUUAGUUAUUCCUUAAGGGCUAGCAAUAAAGGGCAAACAAGGCAACCAUUUGGAAACUAAUGAUUUUCAUCUGCAGGAGAGCCUCUUCCCUGAAGCUAAAAACAGCUCCAACCUGUAAAGAGCAUGUGUGUCAUUGCUCCUGCCCUUAUAAGAAAAAAGAAGUUGAACACAGUGAAGAUCAAUGACUUAGGCCCAUUAAAGCGUGGAAGUCCCAUAGUAAACUGCCACUCUGAAAUUAGAGAGGUAGGUAAAUCCAGAAAGUCACAACUGAGAACUGCUUGACUGGAGCAAAAACCACUGGAGCAAUAAGCUGGUAAAAAGCACUUCAAUGGUGAUUUUAAAGAACACCUGACAGCUAAGUGUGCACUAGCUUGAAAGUAAGAAAUUCCUGGAGGCCAAAGUCUUAGAUGGGCCCCUGGACACUAACAGAUCUUACCUCCAGAAACCCAUCAUUUUCUCACAGUGAAAAGGCAAGAAAUCCCUUAUGGCAGAGGGAAGGGAAAAAGUAACAACUGUGAAAUAUGCCCAGAGCAUUCUUCCUAAUAAAGAUCUAAUUUUCAGGAGCAAAGACUUUACUAGAACCUUAUAUCCCACUUGUAGAAAAGAUAUUCCUCUGACACUGGUACCCUCUACUCUACGUAUCUCACCUGCCAGUUGGAGGGAAAGCUAAGAAACACUUGCAAAGUUCACAGUCCAAAGACAUAGGCCCACUAAAAUACCGAGACUUAAUGAUGAGAUUAUAGAAUUUUCCCUCCUCCUCCAUAUCCUAUUAUCACACUAACAGGCCUCCAGUAUAAUAGUGAAUUACAGGAACUGAUGUUACCAAGAUGGUGGAAUAGACAACCCUCCUGUCCACCCCACCACACACACUCAAAAGGUGAACUUGUAGCUAUUAAAACAUAAAAGCUGUCAUCUUGAAAUCAUUGGAACUUGAGGUAAAAGGAAGAGACCUGCUGUGUCUGUGAAGGAGUGGAAAGUCACAGUGAGCAGAAGGGAUCAUUCUAACUAGACCCAGCCUCAGAUGCUCAAGCAUGGCACAGCACAUAGAGCAGCGACCACUCACAGAGCAUCUGCCUGGACACAGUAAAGCUGCAGUAGUGCCCUUCGUGUGAAGCUACUUGGAGUCUGCAGAGGAGAGGGGUGCCAUGACUGCAUGAUCCCAUUUCCCAGGCCAGCAAAGUUGCUCUCAAGUUUUCUCUCUGCACCCACAUAAGAAGGAGGGGUCAUUGUUGAGGACAGGACACAAUCACCCAGAGGUCGGUAAGUCUUUUUGGGGAACUCAUGUCAGGCUUGCCCCUUAGGAAAUGUUUGCAGUUUUGGGAGGUGUGGGGGCUGAUCCAACAGGAGUGCAUCAGCGAGCAGGGCAGGUAGUUGAUUUGCCUUCUAAUCAGCAUAGGCACCCCACAAUGGAGACCAGUCAGAGUGAUAGAACUCCAGGGGGCACAGUUUGUGGAAAGACUUACUCCCAGAAUUUGCACAUGACCUAAAAGUGACUAAAAGGAUGAUAAUUACAACCCAGUCCACACAAAAAGAUAUUUUCACUCGGAGAAACAACAGCAAGGCAGCAAUUUAGCUCAGGCAAAGAGUUCAACUUCCAGUUCCCACAGGAAGUUUUCCACAAUCAGAAAACUAACUACAGGAUGGCAAAUUAGUUUCAGUGCAGGGUUUGAGUGAUGGUAGCCAUUAAUCCACCAUAGAAUGGGAAAACAAACAAACAAGCAAGGAAAAACACAGACCAGAGGCAAAGUUCUGAUAUUGAGCAGUAAGAUCUGACAUCACCAAAAAACACCUGUAAAGCCUGAGAGAGGUAGCCAUCUCAUCAAAUGCAAAGGCAUAAAUGUAAAGACAUAAAGACUAAGAAAGAACAGCAAAAUAUGACACCACCAUAGGAAAACAACAAAGCACCAGAAAUGGACUCAGAACAGUGGAUUAAUAAAAUGCCUAACAGAGAAUUCACAAUAAUCUUCUUAAAUAUGUUCAGGGAGAUGAAAUAAAAUACAAAUUGAAAAUGAAAUGAUAUUUGGAGAACAGUCCAGGAACAGAGAAACUUGACACAGA